rnacentral:lncRNA from 1 species
CGGCUCAGAGCGCGGCUGUGUGGGGCUGCGGGGCUCCCGCCAUGCCCGCUGGGGUAGGUCCUGCGGACCCCGGCCACUGGAGCCACUCAUCAUUUCCGACGGAUGGGCCGGAGGGGCCGCCGGCCGCCCCAGCCAGGGUCUCGGUAGCCUGCAAGGAGAGAAAGAGGUGGGAGCAGCCCGCGCGGGGCCCUGCGUCUUGCAUAGGCGCUUCUGGUAAAAUCACUCCUUUAUCUCAGAUAAUGAGUUGGCGCUGGAUCGCUGCGUCCUCAGGGCGCGGAAUUGGAAGCAGUCGUCACCCGGAGGCCUGGGCGUGCAAGCACCGAAGCUCUGGCUGGCCCUGAGCCUCCCCACCCCACCCGCUCUUUUCGCUGGAACGCGUGUACUUUGGGCAGUUGCUGACGUGGAGACAGGACGUAUGUCUUCAUAUUUUAGUAAAACCCAAUGCCCUCUGC